UUAAGGCCACUGGAAGAGCGUGCUAAAGCACCGCCGAAGGCGUAACACCCGUAAUCGCUCAGGCUCAAGAACCAGUGGCAUAGG
rnacentral:ncRNA from 1 species